GUGGUGAGGUAGAACUGUGUCAGGUAGAACUGUGUCAGGUAGAAGAGGUGAUAGGUAGAACUGUGUCAGGUAGAAGAGGUGAUAGGUAGAACUGUGUCAGGUAGAAGAGGUGAUAGGUAGAACUGUGUCAUGUAGAAGAGGUGAUAGGUAGAACUGUGUCAGGUAGAAGAGGUGAUAGGUGUGGUACCAGAUGGGACAGGACACAUCAACUUGAUAGACGGCAAUAAGAAUUUCACAGGACAUAAAACACAAUGUCACUAACCAUAAAGUGAAUGUCAUAACCUUGACUUGCCCAUUACAUACUGUCUCUACACUCUCCAGUACUCAUAGUGCCAUAAAAAACAAGCCUGGCAAUACAACGUUGUAGAG
ensembl:lncRNA